GACGAACGCUGGCGGCGUGCUUAACACAUGCAAGUCGAACGGUGAAGCGCCUUCCUUUUUGGUGGGUGUGGAUGAGUGGCGAACGGGUGAGUAACACGUGAGUAACCUGCCCCCUUCUUCUGGAUAACCGCAUGAAAGUGUGGCUAAUACGGGAUAUUCUGGGUCUGUCGCAUGAUGGGUCUGGGAAAGAUAUUGUUUCGGUGGGGGAUGGGCUCGCGGCCUAUCAGCUUGUUGGUGGGGUGAUGGCCUACCAAGGCGGUGACGGGUAGCCGGCCUGAGAGGGUGGACGGUCACACUGGGAAUGAGACACGGCCCAGACGCCUACGGGAGGCAGCAGUGGGGAAUAUUGCACAAUGGGCGCAAGCCUGAUGCAGCGACGCCGCGUGAGGGAUGGAGGCCUUCGGGUUGUGAACCUCUUUCGCCAGUGAAGCAGGCCUGCCUCGUUUGUGGGUGGGUUGACGGUAGCUGGAUAAGAAGCGCCGGCUAACUACGUG
rnacentral:rRNA from 1 species